UACGGGGGGGGGCAAGCGUUGUUCGGAAUUACUGGGCGUAAAGGGCUCGUAGGCGGCCAACUAAGUCGGAUGUGAAAUCCCCAGCUUAACCUGGGAACUGCAUCCGAUACUGGAUGGCUUGAAUCCGGGAGAGGGAUGCGGAAUUCCAGGUGUAGCGGUGGAAAUGCGUAGAUAUCUGGAGGAACACCGGUGGCGAAGGCGGCAUCCUGGACCGGCAUUGACGCUGAGGAGCGAAAGCCAGGGGAG
rnacentral:rRNA from 1 species